AUGAACGCUAGCUACAGGCUUAACACAUGCAAGUCGAGGGGCAGCAUUUCAGUUUGCUUGCAAACUGGAGAUGGCGACCGGCGCACGGGUGAGUAACACGUAUCCAACCUGCCGAUAACUCGGGGAUAGCCUUUCGAAAGAAAGAUUAAUACCCGAUGGUAUAAUCAGACCGCAUGGUCUUGUUAUUAAAGAAUUUCGGUUAUCGAUGGGGAUGCGUUCCAUUAGGCAGUUGGUGAGGUAACGGCUCACCAAACCUUCGAUGGAUAGGGGUUCUGAGAGGAAGGUCCCCCACAUUGGAACUGAGACACGGUCCAAACUCCUACGGGAGGCAGCAGUGAGGAAUAUUGGUCAAUGGGCGCAGGCCUGAACCAGCCAAGUAGCGUGAAGGAUGACUGCCCUAUGGGUUGUAAACUUCUUUUAUAUGGGAAUAAAGUUUUCCACGUGUGGAAUUUUGUAUGUACCAUAUGAAUAAGGAUCGGCUAACUCCGUGCCAGCAGCCGCGGUAAUACGGAGGAUCCGAGCGUUAUCCGGAUUUAUUGGGUUUAAAGGGAGCGUAGGUGGACAGUUAAGUCAGUUGUGAAAGUUUGCGGCUCAACCGUAAAAUUGCAGUUGAUACUGGCUGUCUUGAGUACAGUAGAGGUGGGCGGAAUUCGUGGUGUAGCGGUGAAAUGCUUAGAUAUCACGAAGAACUCCGAUUGCGAAGGCAGCUCACUGGACUGCAACUGACACUGAUGCUCGAAAGUGUGGGUAUCAAACAGGAUUAGAUACCCUGGUAGUCCACACAGUAAACGAUGAAUACUCGCUGUUUGCGAUAUACAGUAAGCGGCCAAGCGAAAGCAUUAAGUAUUCCACCUGGGGAGUACGCCGGCAACGGUGAAACUCAAAGGAAUUGACGGGGGCCCGCACAAGCGGAGGAACAUGUGGUUUAAUUCGAUGAUACGCGAGGAACCUUACCCGGGCUUAAAUUGCAUUUGAAUAAUCUGGAAACAGGUUAGCCGCAAGGCAAAUGUGAAGGUGCUGCAUGGUUGUCGUCAGCUCGUGCCGUGAGGUGUCGGCUUAAGUGCCAUAACGAGUGCAACCCUUAUCUUUAGUUACUAACAGGUCAUGCUGAGGACUCUAGAGAGACUGCCGUCGUAAGAUGUGAGGAAGGUGGGGAUGACGUCAAAUCAGCACGGCCCUUACGUCCGGGGCUACACACGUGUUACAAUGGGGGGUACAGAAGGCAGCUACCUGGUGACAGGAUGCUAAUCCCAAAAGCCUCUCUCAGUUCGGAUCGAAGUCUGCAACCCGACUUCGUGAAGCUGGAUUCGCUAGUAAUCGCGCAUCAGCCAUGGCGCGGUGAAUACGUUCCCGGGCCUUGUACACACCGCCCGUCAAGCCAUGAAAGCCGGGGGUACCUGAAGUACGUAACCGCAAGGAGCGUCCUAGGGU
rnacentral:rRNA from 1 species